rnacentral:rRNA from 1 species
GCACAAGCGGUGGAUGAUGUGGUUUAAUUCGAUGCAACGCGAAAAACCUUACCCACCUUUGACAUGUACGGAACCCUUUAGAGAUAGAGGGGUGCUCGAAAGAGAGCCGUAACACAGGUGCUGCAUGGCUGUCGUCAGCUCGUGUCGUGAGAUGUUGGGUUAAGUCCCGCAACGAGCGCAACCCUUGUCAUUAGUUGCUACAUUUAGUUGGGCACUCUAAUGAGACUGCCGGUGACAAACCGGAGGAAGGUGGGGAUGACGUCAAGUCCUCAUGGCCCUUAUAGAUGGGGCUACACACGUCAUACAAUGGCCGGUACAAAGGGCUGCCAACCCGCGAGGGGGAGCCAAUCCCAUAAAACCGGUCGUAGUCCGGAUCGCAGUCUGCAACUCGACUGCGUGAAGUCGGAAUCGCUAGUAAUCGUGGAUCAGCAUGUCACGGUGAAUACGUUCCCGGGCCUU